GGCACUGUACAUGGGUAACUUCACCUGAAAUGCUGAAAAUAAAUCUUGCUCAUUCUUUCCUGGGAUAUAGUGAAUGACUUCAUGCCCUACAUUGUAUGGGCUACCCACAUAGGUGAGGAAUUGAGGAUACAGCCAUGGAGGAUUUUUCUGUUAAACCUCAGAAGGGAUGCUCUCAAUUUCUGCAAGGCUCUCCUGGGCAACAUGAACGGUCCAGACAAGUUCAUUCAUUUUUUUGUUUUUCUGGAGGGUUAAAUGGGGGAUAGAGUAUUCAGGAGGUAGGUUUAGCUCAGUCCAAGGAUGGCUACAAAGAGCUGUGGUAGGUAGUGCUCUGACAAAGAGUUCCCUGUCGUGGGGAUAUUCAAGUGUAACUCAGUUAAUUUCUUGUUGGGGAUGUUCUGAGCAUGGUCAGAACAAAGAGAAAGGGAAAUUCAGGGGGAAUUGGUCUAGAAGAUCCCUUCAAUUCCAGGAUGCUGUGGUUUCAGGAAGGCAGGAAUGAUCUACCAUGAAAGGUUUUUACAACAGUAGGAAACAUCAUCAUCUUGGCUUUGCCUGUCUCCAGGAGGCUUGAAUGUGAUUUGCAUAACCACAGGGGGAUGGAUGUCUUGAUCUUUCACAGUUUUUUUCCAGCCCUUAGAAUCAUUCUGGUCUUUGCUUGCAACCUCCUUUAGAACCAUAUCCUGAGCCACCUCCAUCCUUCUCCCAAAUUAUUGUAACAACUUCUGAGUAGGUCCCCUAGCACUCUAUAAUCUACCCUCCACACAGAAGCAAAAGCUAUCAUAUAAAAUAAAAAUCGGAUAUAUUUUCCCCCUACAGUUGUAACUUAUGACCAUAGCCGUCCCCAACCCAACUGGUUCUCCCAUUCCACCUCCCCUCACCUAAUGUGCACAAACCACUCUCCCUUCUUUUCUGACUCACAAACAUUCAGGGCUUUUGCCUUUCCUCUGUCUGAGCCCUCUUCCCCUAGGACUUUGCAAGGCCAGUUUUUUUCUCAUCGUUAAAUUCCCAGCUCAACUGUCACCCCAGACAGGGCUCUCUGACCAGUCUCCAGUCACUCCAUCCGGACGACCCUUUUAAUUUUCCUUUCAGCAUUUAUCUAGCUGGGCCUGGUGAUGUGUGUCUGUAGUUUCAGCCACUCGGGAGGCUGAGGAAGGAGGAUUGCUGGAGCCCAGGAGUUCAAGGCUGCAGUGAGCUGUGAUCAUCACUUUGCUCCAGUCUGGAUGACAGAGCGAGACCCUGUCUCUAAAACAUAAAUAAAUAGGCCAGGUUUGGUGGCUCAUGCCUGUAAUCCCAGCACUUUUGGAGGCUGAAGCCAGUGGAUUGUUUGAGCCCAGGAAUUUGAGACCAGCCUGGACAACAGGUGAAACCCUGUUUCUAGGAAAAGCAAAAAUUAGCCAGGCAUAGUGGUACAUACCUGUGGUCCCAGAUACUCAGGAGGCUGAUGUGAAAGGACCACCUGAGCCUGGGAAGUUGAGGCUGCAGUGAGCUGAGACUGCUCCACUGAACUCUAGCCUGGGCGGCAGAGUGAGACCCUGUCUCUAAAUACAUAAAUAAAAUAAGUAAAGCACUUUUCAGUAUCUUUCUGGAAUUCUUAUCUAUUUGUUAACAUAUGUAUGGUCUUUUUCUGCUGCUGAGAGGUGAAGCCAGCUGGACUUCCUGGCUCGAGUAGGGACUUGGAGAACUUUUCUGUCUAGUUAGAGGUUUGUAAAUGCACCAAUCAGCGCUUUGUGUCUAGCCAAAGGAUUGUAAAUGCACCAAUCAGCAACUCUGUAAAAUGGACCAAUCAGCACUCUGUAAAAUGGACCAAUCAGCACUCUGUAAAAUUGACCAAUCAGCAGGAUGUGGGAGGGGACAAAUAAGGAAAUAAAAGCUGACCACCCCAGCCAGCGGGGGCGACGUGGUGGGGUCCAUUUGUAGGUUGUGGAGGAUUUGAUCUUUUGCUCUUGGAAAUAAAUCUUGCUGCUGCGCGCGCUCUCUCUCUGGGUGCAUGCUGCUUUUAAGAGCUGUGAUACUCACCAGGAAGGUCCGUGGUUUCAUUCUGGAAGUCAGCGAGACCAAGAACCCACCAGAAGGAACCAACUACAGACACACUGCUAUAUGGUCCAGCUAUGUACAAACUGAAUCAAGAUUCUAUGUACAUCAGAAUCAAGAGAGAGUGAGUUCUUGACAUCACGGAGCGGUCUACAUUCUAGUUCAUGCGGUGGACCUGCUGGGUGGCCUCAGGGGCAUGGAUGAAACUGGAAACCAUCAUUCUCAGCAAACUGUCAAACUAUUGCAAGGACAGAAAACCAAACACCGCAUGUUCUCACUCAUAGGUGGGAAUUGAACAGUGAGAACACAUGGACACAGGAAGGGGAACAUCACACACCGGGGACUGUUGUGGGGUUGGGGGAGGGGG
rnacentral:lncRNA from 1 species